AUUGAACGCUGGCGGCAUGCCUUACACAUGCAAGUCGAACGGUAACGGGCCUUCGGGUGCCGACGAGUGGCGAACGGGUGCGUAAUACAUCGGAACGUGCCCGAUCGUGGGGGAUAACGAGGCGAAAGCUUUGCUAAUACCGCAUACGAUCUACGGAUGAAAGCAGGGGACCGCAAGGCCUUGCGCGGACGGAGCGGCCGAUGGCAGAUUAGGUAGUUGGUGGGAUAAAAGCUUACCAAGCCGACGAUCUGUAGCUGGUCUGAGAGGAUGAUCAGCCACACUGGAACUGAGACACGGCCCAGACUCCUACGGGAGGCAGCAGUGGGGAAUUUUGGACAAUGGGCGCAAGCCUGAUCCAGCCAUGCCGCGUGCAGGAUGAAGGCCUUCGGGUUGUAAACUGCUUUUGUACGGAACGAAAAGCCUUCUUUUAAUACAGGAGGGUCAUGACGGUACCGUAAGAAUAAGCACCGGCUAACUACGUG
rnacentral:rRNA from 1 species